UACGAAGGGGGCUAGCGUUGUUCGGAAUUACUGGGCGUAAAGCGCGCGCAGGCGGUUCUUCAAGUCAGAGGUGAAAGCCCAGAGCUCAACUCUGGAAUGGCCUUUGAGACUAGAGAACUAGGGUACGGGAGAGGUGAGUGGAAUUCCGAGUGUAGAGGUGAAAUUCGUAGAUAUUCGGAAGAACACCAGUGGCGAAGGCGGCUCACUGGCCCGAUACUGACGCUGAGGCACGAAAGCGUGGGGAGCAAACAGG
rnacentral:rRNA from 1 species